rnacentral:rRNA from 1 species
UACGUAGGGACCAAGCGUUUGUCCGGAAUCAUUGGCGUAAAGAGCGUGUAGGCGGCUUGUUAAGUCUUGCGUGAAAUCUCGGGGCUCAACCCCGAGCGGUCGUGAGAAACUGGCAGGCUAGAGUGCGGGAGAGGAGAGUGGAAUUCCUGGUGUAGCGGUGAAAUGCGCAGAUAUCAGGAAGAACACCCGUGGCGAAGGCGGCUCUCUGGAACGCAACUGACGCUGAGACGCGAAAGCGUGGGGAGCAAACAGG